GAUGAACGCUAGCGGCAGGCUUAACACAUGCAAGUCGAGGGGUAUAGUAGCAAUACUAGAGACCGGCGCACGGGUGCGUAACGCGUAUGCAAUCUACCUUAUACAGGGGGAUAGCCCAGAGAAAUUUGGAUUAAUACCCCAUAGUGUUACGGAGUGGCAUCACACUGUAACUAAAGUUCCAACGGUAUAAGAUGAGCAUGCGUCCCAUUAGCUAGUUGGUGUGGUAACGGCACACCAAGGCAACGAUGGGUAGGGGUCCUGAGAGGGAGAUCCCCCACACUGGUACUGAGACACGGACCAGACUCCUACGGGAGGCAGCAGUGAGGAAUAUUGGUCAAUGGGCGCAAGCCUGAACCAGCCAUGCCGCGUGCAGGAUGACGGUCCUAUGGAUUGUAAACUGCUUUUGACAGGAAGAAACACUCCCUCGUGAGGGAGCUUGACGGUACUGUAAGAAUAAGGAUCGGCUAACUCCGUGCCAGCAGCC
rnacentral:rRNA from 1 species